GCCUACGGGGGGCAGCAGUGGGGAAUAUUGCGCAAUGGGCGAAAGCCUGACGCAGCGACGCCGCGUGAGGGAUGAAGGUCUUCGGAUCGUAAACCUCUGUCAGCAGGGAAGAACGGUCACUGUGCUAAUCAGCAGUGAAUUGGCGGUACCUGCAAAGGAAGCACCGGCUAACUCCGUGCCAGCAGCCGCGGUAAUACGGAGGGUGCGAGCGUUAAUCGGAAUUACUGGGCGUAAAGCGCUCGUAGGCGGUAUGUCCAGUCAAGGGUGAAAUCCCCGCGCUCAACGUGGGAACUGCCUUUGGAACU
rnacentral:rRNA from 1 species